UCCUCGAUAGUCUAGUGGUGAGGAUAUCUGCUUGUCACUGCAAUAGCAGCAGCUCGCAGGGGACCGGGGUUCAAUUCCCCGUCGAGGAG
rnacentral:tRNA from 1 species